GUAGGAUUUAUUAAAAGUUUGUUGAAGAUCUAGGAUUUGAUUAGAGUUAGAACUUAGGAUUUAAUGUAGGAUUUGAUGUAGGAUUUGGUAUAGGAUUUGGUUAAGAUUAGAGCUUAGGAUUUGAUUAGAAUUUGAUUUGAAACUUGACUAGGAUUUAUUUAGAAUUUAUUUAGGAUUAAUCUAAAAUUAAUCUAUAAUUUAGGAUUUUAUUAGGAUUUGACCUAAGGCUUGGUUAAAGUUCUAUUAGAGUUUUAGUUAGGAUUUGAUAUGGAAUUUGAUUAAUAUUAAAUUAGGAUUUGAAUUAGGAUUAUAUAUAAUUUUUUAUU
rnacentral:lncRNA from 1 species